rnacentral:rRNA from 1 species
UGCGUAGGGUGCAAGCGUUGUCCGGAAUUAUUGGGCGUAAAGAGCUCGUAGGCGGUCUGUCGCGUCGGCUGUGAAAACUCGGGGCUCAACUCCGAGCCUGCAGUCGAUACGGGCAGACUAGAGUGCGGUAGGGGAGACUGGAAUUCCUGGUGUAGCGGUGAAAUGCGCAGAUAUCAGGAGGAACACCGGUGGCGAAGGCGGGUCUCUGGGCCGAUACUGACGCUGAGGAGCGAAAGCGUGGGGAGCGAACAGG